AAGUCGUAACAAGGUUUCCGUAGGUGAACCUGCGGAAGGAUCAUUAACACGUUAUCCAACGUAUCAAAUCAUAUGAGAACUUAUUCCCUAAGACAUAACUGAGGUUGGCAAUCAGGUCAGAUUGAGUCGUUCUUCGGAACGUCGUCCUGAGAUGCAUAAGGGUUAGAUACCCUGAGACCACGACCAUGCGCUUAGGCUUUCACUAUUUCUUCAUACCUAUCAAUUUGGGUAUGUUGGGAUGACACUAUACAAUUUCACGAUAUUAAACCCAUUUGACUAAUUAUUACUGUUGUAUCUGGGAACUAGAGCAAACUAUUACUUCGGUAAUACAUGAGUUCGACUUUUUGGACAAUGGUACCAAGUUUAUUUAAACUAAGCACAACUCUUAGCAAUGGAUAUCUUGGUUCUC
rnacentral:misc_RNA from 1 species